rnacentral:rRNA from 1 species
GACGAACGCUGGCGGCGUGCCUAACACAUGCAAGUCGAACGAUGAAGCCGGAGCUUGCUCCGGUGGAUUAGUGGCGAACGGGUGAGUAACACGUGAGCAAUCUGCCCUUGACUCUGGGAUAACUGCGGGAAACUGUAGCUAAUACCGGAUACGACACCUUGGGGCAUCCCAGGGUGUGGAAAGAAUUUCGGUCAAGGAUGAGCUCGCGGCCUAUCAGCUAGUUGGUGAGGUAAUGGCUCACCAAGGCGACGACGGGUAGCCGGCCCGGGGGGGUGACCGGGCACACUGGAACUGAGACACGGUCCCGACUCCUACGGGAGGCAGCAGUGGGGAAUAUUGCACAAGGGGCGAAAGCCUGAUGCAGCAACGCCGCGUGAGGGAUGAAGGCCUUCGGGUUGUAAACCUCUUUUAGCAGGGAAGAAGCGAAAGUGACGAUACCUGCAGAAAAAGCACCGGCUAACUACGUGCCAGCAGCCGCCGUAA